AUUGAACGCUGGCGGCAUGCUUUACACAUGCAAGUCGAACGGUAACAGGGCCUUCGGGGCGCUGACGAGUGGCGAACGGGUGAGUAAUGCAUCGGAACGUGCCCAGAGGUGGGGGAUAACGCAGCGAAAGCUGUGCUAAUACCGCAUACUUAGUCUGACGGAUGAAAGCGGGGGACUAAGCAGCAAUGUUUGGCCUCGCGCCUUUGGAGCGGCCGAUAUCGGAUUAGGCUAGUUGGUGGGGUAAAGGCUCACCAAGGCGACGAUCCGUAGCUGGUUUGAGAGGACGACCCAGCCACACUGGGACUGAGACACGGCCCAGACUCCUACGGGAGGCAGCAGUGGGGAAUUUUGGACAAUGGGGGAAACCCCUGAUCCAGCCAUUCCGCGUGUGCGAUGAAGGCCUUCGGGUUGUAAAGCACUUUUGGCAGGAAAGAAAUCGCACAAAUUAAUACUUUGUGUGGAUGACGGUACCUGCAGAAUAAGCACCGGCUAACUACGUG
rnacentral:rRNA from 1 species